UACGUAGGGUGCGAGCGUUGUCCGGAAUUAUUGGGCGUAAAGAGCUCGUAGGCGGUCUGUCGCGUCGAUCGUGAAAACUUGGGGCUUAACCCUGAGCUUGCGGUCGAUACGGGCAUGACUGGAGUUCGGCAGGGGAGACUUGGAAUUCCUGGUGUAGCGGUGAAAUGCGCAGAUAUCAGGAGGAACACCGGUGGCGAAGGCGGGUCUCUGGGCCGAUACUGACGCUGAGGAGCGAAAGCGUGGGGAGCGAACAGG
rnacentral:rRNA from 1 species